UGGGGAAUUUUGGACAAUGGGCGAAAGCCUGAUCCAGCAAUGCCGCGUGUGUGAAGAAGCACUUCGGGUUGUAAAGCACUUUUUGUCCGGAAAGAAAUCCUUGGCUCUAAUACAGUCGGGGGAUGACGGUACCGGAAGAAUAAGCACCGGCUAACUACGUGCCAGCAGCCGCGGUAAUACGUAGGGUGCAAGCGUUAAUCGGAAUUACUGGGCGUAAAGCGUGCGCAGGCGGUUUGCUAAGACCGAUGUGAAAUCCCCGGGCUCAACCUGGGAACUGCAUUGGUGACUGGCAGGCUAGAGUAUGGCAGAGGGGGGUAGAAUUCCACGUGUAGCAGUGAAAUGCGUAGAGAUGUGGAGGAAUACCGAUGGCGAAGGCAGCCCCCUGGGCCAAUACUGACGCUCAUGCACGAAAGCGUGGGGAACAAACAGGAUUAGAUACCCUGGUAGUCCACGCCCUAAACGAUGUCAACUAGUUGUUGGGGAUUCAUUUCCUUAGUAACGUAGCUAACGCGUGAAGUUGACCGCCUGGGGAGUACGGUCGCAAGAUUAAAACUUAAAUGAAUUGACGGGGUCAUAGCUGUUUCCU
rnacentral:rRNA from 1 species